GCUCUUUGAGUUCAGCGCUGCUAUAGAGAUUAGCAAAAUGGGCCUGGCCUGCAGACGUUCUGAAAAUGGUGUUGUAGAACUAACGGAAGAUGGCACGUAGAAGAUGGUCGUUCCACUAAUGCAGGAAAGUUUAUUACAUCUGAGACCAGUGUGACUCUACAUUUGGAAGCUAAAGUCCUGACUCCGAUGUCUGUCAGGAUGCUGGUGCUGGAACAUUUUCCCUCAAGAGCUCACCUGGGUGAUGUUCCAGAGCUGGUGAAGAACACUGGUGGUUGAAUGUCUGUGCUGCGGGGACCUUCACAUUCCAGUGAAAUGUAUUGCAUAAUGCCGCUGGUUGUGGUUUUGCUGGUUGAAAAUAAAUGUUGAUUUUAAUG
rnacentral:lncRNA from 1 species